AUUCUUCACAUGGCCCUUGUAAGAACCGCUCAUUAUGUGACUUGGACUUAAACUUGGGAUUAUACGAGAAGACUCAUGUACCUCUGAUCCAAUGACUGUUGUAUUAAUCAGCUAGGAUGAACCUGGGGACUCCAGGGAUAGAGAAGAAAAGGCAUAGAUAGGAAAAGGAGGAAGAAUAUUUUUAAAAAAGACAGAUGGGUUUAUCUUGUAGGAGGAAGGUGUGUGUAUGAAACAAAACAAUAUUAGAAGGAGAGUGUGGCUUAAGGGAAUAGGACGCUGGGCUGGUGAGUUUGCGUUCACAGAGAGGUUGUCAAUUUCAGACACGAGGCCAUGGAAUUGCUAGGAUAAGGAAAAGAAGAUUGGAGAUGAUGUUCGAGCUUAUGAAGAGUUGGUCCUGCUCCUCGCUACGUGGAGGACCGUGCCUAGAGAUCGGAGCGAGCCAGCUGCUCUGCUUGCAUAGAUUCGAAGAACUCUGUCAGGAAUCGUUUUAACGUCAGUCAGCUGCCAUCUUUCUGUUCUCACGUGAAAACGUCACUGGAACGACUGCUGUCUACCAUACCAGGAGACCCCAGGAGCUGUGCCAGCUGCCGGUGAGGAACACACUGUGGGCAAGCAAUAAAGAAACGUACUUUUGCUU
rnacentral:lncRNA from 1 species